AUUGCUUCUCGGCCUUUUGGCUGAAAUCAAGUGUAGUAUCUGUUCUGACAAGUUUAAUACAAAUAACCCAAGCUAAAAUUAUACUCAGUGGAGAAAGAGAAAGCUGUCCACUUAAGAUCAGGAACAAGAACCCCUACUUUCUACAGUGCCAUUCAGAAUUGUACUAGAAGUUCUAGCAAAGCAAUUUGUUAU
ensembl:snRNA U2 U2 spliceosomal RNA